UACGUAGGGACCAAGCGUUGUUCGGAUUUACUGGGCGUAAAGGGCGCGUAGGCGGCCUUCUAAGUCGAACGUGAAAUCCCUGGGCUCAACCCAGGAACUGCGUCCGAUACUGGAAGGCUUGAAUCCGGGAGAGGGAUGCGGAAUUCCACGUGUAGCGGUGAAAUGCGUAGAGAUGUGGAGGAACACCAGUGGCGAAGGCGGCUCUUUGGUCUGUAACUGACGCUGAGGCGCGAAAGCGUGGGGAUCAAACAGG
rnacentral:rRNA from 1 species